ACAAAAGGGGGCGGGGGGCGGGGGUAAUAGGGGGGGGGGGGGGGGGGUCCGGGUUAUGUGGGGGUAAAGGACUCGGAGGCGGGGUCGUAAGUCGGGUGUGAAAUCUCCACGCUUAACGUGGAGGGGCCACUCGAUACUGCCAUGACUCGAGGCAGGUAGAGGAGUGGGGAAUUCCCGGUGUAGCGGUGAAAUGCGCAGAUAUCGGGAGGAACACCCGUAGCGAAGGCGGCACUCUGGGCCGGAACUGACGCUGAGGAGCGAAAGCGUGGGGAGCAAACAGGAUUAGAUACCCUAGUAGUC
rnacentral:rRNA from 1 species